rnacentral:rRNA from 1 species
GAUGAACGCUGGCGGCGUGCCUAAUACAUGCAAGUCGAGCGAACAGACGAGGAGCUUGCUCCUCUGACGUUAGCGGCGGACGGGUGAGUAACACGUGGAUAACCUACCUAUAAGACUGGGAUAACUUCGGGAAACCGGAGCUAAUACCGGAUAAUAUAUUGAACCGCAUGGUUCAAUAGUGAAAGACGGUUUUGCUGUCACUUAUAGAUGGAUCCGCGCCGCAUUAGCUAGUUGGUAAGGUAACGGCUUACCAAGGCAACGAUGCGUAGCCGACCUGAGAGGGUGAUCGGCCACACGGGAACUGAGACACGGUCCAGACUCCUAAGGGAGGCAGCAGUAGGGAAUCUGCCGCAAUGGGCGAAAGCUUGACGGAGCAACGCCGCGUGAGUGAUGAAGGUCUUCGGAUCGUAAAACUCUGUUAUUAGGGAAGAACAAAUGUGUAAGUAACUAUGCACGUCUUGACGGUACCUAAUCAGAAAGCCACGGCUAACUACGUG